rnacentral:rRNA from 1 species
GACGAACGCUGGCGGCGUGCUUAACACAUGCAAGUCGAACGGAAAGGCCCUGCUUGCAGGGUACUCGAGUGGCGAACGGGUGAGUAACACGUGGGUGAUCUGCCCUGCACUUCGGGAUAAGCCUGGGAAACUGGGUCUAAUACCGGAUAGGAGCCAUUUUUAGUGUGAUGGUUGGAAAGUUUUUUCGGUGUAGGAUGAGCUCGCGGCCUAUCAGCUUGUUGGUGGGGUAAUGGCCUACCAAGGCGGCGACGGGUAGCCGGCCGGAGAGGGUGGACGGCCACAUUGGGAAUGGGGUACGGCCCAGACUCCUACGGGAGGCAGGAGGGGGGAAUAUUGCACAAUGGGCGGAAGCCUGAUGCAGCGACGCCGCGUGGGGGAGGACGGCCUUCGGGUUGUAAACUCCUUUCGCUAGGGACGAAGCUUUUUGUGACGGUACCUAGAUAAGAAGCACCGGCUAACUACGUG